AUCACUGUAAUCAAAGAGUACCCGUGAUCCUAUCUCUGCUGCUCUAUUAUAUCUGCCACUGCCACCAUCUGCAGCUUCUAGCUAAUACCUAUCCUAUCCACAUAUAUAUAUAUAUAUGCAUUGACGACAACAAGAAGAAACACGACACACACAGGCUGCAGAGAAGAAAGAAAGAGUGAGCAGUGACCACAGAAACAGA
rnacentral:lncRNA from 1 species